ACUCACCUUUCCUAAACACACGUUGGCCAACCGAAACCGUACCUCCAUCCCUCCCGCAGUCCCGCGACCCAGCAGCAGAUCCCCGCCGCUCCCACCCAUCGCGCCUCCACCCUCCCUCCCCUUCCCAAAUCUCGCCUCCGCGGCUUCAAGACUCGGCGCUCGGCGAGGGAGGCGCGGUGAGGAGGACGUGGAUGGGGUGACUGUUCGACUGCUUCCGCGCGGCGGUGAGCCGCGCCCGCGCCCAGCUCGUCUCCUCCGCCGUCGCUCUGUCCGCCAACCCCAAGGUCUUCUCCUUCCUCCCUCUUCCGUUGCGCCCCGCGCGGAACCCGUGUGUGCCCGUUCCCGGACACGGAUCAGCUAGCCAUGGGGGGUUUGGAAAUUCGAUCCGUGAUUGGUUAAUUUUGCGUAUUUGUGUGUCUCUACUGACCAGGUCGGCGAGAGGAGGGCGGCGCCGUCCAGGAACGCGCUGUCCGCCGUGUUCCUGCGCGAAGGUCCGCUUUUUUCCUGUCCAAAUUUGUGUCUCUCCUUCUCGACCCAAGGUUCUGAUUUUGUGCCGUCGGUGUAGAUGAGGGAUCGCAGGCCACGAGCUCGGGGUCGGGCCGGGACGCGGAGAGGACGAGGGUGGAUCCGGAGCUCACGCGCGGGGAGGUAUGGCAAUCGGUCCUGCGAAUCUGGCCCGGUUCAGAUCUGCUUCCUUGCUAGUCUAUUCCGAGCUGUGUCUUACCACUUGAGAGCUGAAGUUUUUCUGGCUAGUGACACAUGUGCAUCAGUUUCAGUUGUUUGUUCAGCGCUGUCCUGAUCCACACUGGCAUUAGUUGCACAAAAAUGCAGCAUUGCACCUGUGAGCCGGCUGUUGUUCAGUUGUUUGUUUGCACUUUCCACUGAUAUACGAGUUCAAUGGAUCCAGCUAUUAUAGGUUUUAUAAUUGUGUUUAUAAUGACAAUCAGCAUCACGUCGUCAUUGGUCAACUGACUGAAUAUCCCACACUCCUAACGUCUACGCGGAGGCACUCCCAGGCAGGUCCCAAGUGCCAAAACAUUACUACAAACCGACGGCGUCGAACGGCCAACAAAACCGGCCCUCCAGCACUCACUACACCAAUAGAAACCAGGCAACACCACAUGAUACUCCUACAAGGUGAAGUAUCCACAACACAUGGACAUGGAUACAGCCAUCAUGGCCAAUGGGCCGCUCACAGCUCCGUGCCCAACGGGACGCCAAAUACGGGGCUGCUCACGAGCAUCCCCUGCAUCCGUCUUGGUCCUACCCGCAAUUUUUUUUGUCAUAUUGGCCUGUUUUGUGUCAGUGAGAGGGGGCGAUUUGUGAGGCACUACUGUACUACUGUUUUCUUGUUUUCUAUGUAUAUAUGUUGACAGAUGCGGAAAAUGAGAGUUUCUUAUUCUUGUAGCAUGUAUUUGACAGUAAUUUGACAUAUGUAUAUGCCAAGCACGAAUAGUUUUGUAGUGUUAGGCUAGUAAGAGUAAGAGGUCUGCAUCAUGUAUUUGACUAGUUGUUACUCAUUUGCUUAUUUGGAUACAGAAAUGUGUUGUCGUGUUAGUAAAAUUUGGUCUUCUGUUGUUUCUAUUGAACAGGGGAUGAGUACCUUGUGGCCGACACUGAUGGAGUUGGGACGAAGCUGAAGCUCGC
rnacentral:lncRNA from 1 species